CCCGUUUCAACAUGGAGAAGCAAAUUAUUUUAGCAGUGAUUGCUUUCCCUAUCCUUUAUGAUCCUUCCCUGAAUGACUGUCGGGAUAUAAAUAAAAAAGCUGCUGCAUGGCAGUUGGUUGGCGCAAGGGUAAACUUGUCCUGUGAAGAGGUCAAAAAGCGCUGGAAAAAUCUCAGAGAUACUUUCAUGAGAACCUGGAAGGCACUAAAGAAUAAGAAAAGCAGCUCAGCAGCUGCUGAUCAGAGGGUCUGCAGAUACUACCAGGUUAUGUCAUUCCUCGAGCCAUUUCUAAAGGAGCGUGACACCAGCAACAUGACAGCAGAUGACCCACAGGCAGAGCCCGGAAGAGCCAGAGGUGACCCUGACCCUAAUGCCUGUGGAUGAAGAUGCUUCGGAUCUGCUGCUGACUGCAACCAGUGAUACCACCAGUGAGUCUAGCAGCAUUGAUCUAGCAACUCAGCAAACACCAAAGAUCAACUCAGAAGACCAACCCAGGGAAACAGAGGAAGCCUGACCAAACCAGCUUUGAGGAGUCGAUUCUCAGCAGGGUGGAUAGUAUUAGAGCACAAAUCCAACAUAAUGCUGAAGAUGAAGAUGAGCUCUACCUACAAAGCCUUCUGCCCAUUCUCAGACGACUUGUUGGAGUCAAAAAAUCUCAGGCCAAGAUGGAAACGAUGAGAGUGCUUCAUCAACUCGAGUUUGGCGAAGAGUGAUUAUUGUGACUAAUGUUGUUGUUAAGAGUUUCCAAUUCUUUUGUUAUAGCUAAUUUUGAACAGUUUGCACAGUAUGUUUACAGCCCACUGUUUUAUAGUGCUGAGUGAAGAGAAAAUAUUUUAUUUGAUACAUUUAUUUUGUUUAAAAAAGACAUAUGAUAUGAACGUUCAUUUGAUUAAUAAAUGUUGCCUUUUUGGUUCAAAUGCAAUAUGGAAAAUAAUAAUAAAAAAUGU